UACGUAGGGUGCAAGCGUUAAUCGGAAUUACUGGGCGUAAAGCGUGCGCAGGCGGUGAUGUAAGACAGAUGUGAAAUCCCCGGGCUCAACCUGGGAACUGCAUUUGUGACUGCAUCGCUGGAGUGCGGCAGAGGGGGAUGGAAUUCCGCGUGUAGCAGUGAAAUGCGUAGAGAUGCGGAGGAACACCGAUGGCGAAGGCAGCCCCCUGGGCCAAUACUGACGCUCAGGCACGAAAGCGUGGGGAGCAAACGGG
rnacentral:rRNA from 1 species